UACGUAGGGUGCUAGCGUUGUCCGGAUUUAUUGGGCGUAAAGAGCGUGUAGGCGGCCAUACAGGUCAGCUGUGAAAACUCGAGGCUCAACCUCGAGACGUCGGUUGAAACCGUAUGGCUAGAGUCCGGAAGAGGAGAGUGGAAUUCCCGGUGUAGCGGUGAAAUGCGCAGAUAUCGGGAAGAACACCCGUGGCGAAGGCGGCUCUCUGGGACGGUACUGACGCUGAGACGCGAAAGCGUGGGGAGCGAACAGG
rnacentral:rRNA from 1 species